rnacentral:rRNA from 1 species
UCCGGUUGAUCCUGCCAGAGGUUACUGCUAUCGGUGUUCGCCUAAGCCAUGCGAGUCAUAUGUUCUUCGUGAACAUGGCGUACUGCUCAGUAACACGUGGAUAACCUGCCCUUGGGUCCGGCAUAACCCCGGGAAACUGGGGAUAAUUCCGGAUAACGCAUAUAUGCUGGAAUGCUUUAUGCGUCAAAUGGAUUCGUCUGCCCAAGGAUGGGUCUGCGGCCUAUCAGGUAGUAGUGGGUGUAAUGUACCUACUAGCCAACAACGGGUACGGGUUGUGAGAGCAAGAGCCCGGAGAUGGAUUCUGAGACAUGAAUCCAGGCCCUACGGGGCGCAGCAGGCGCGAAAACUUUACAAUGCGGGAAACCGUGAUAAGGGGACACCGAGUGCUAGCAUCAUAUGCUGGCUGUCCAGGUGUGUAAACUACACCUGUUAGCAAGGGCCGGGCAAGACCGGUGCCAGCCGCCGCGGUAACACCGGCGGCCCGAGUGGUGAUCGUGAUUAUUGGGUCUAAAGGGUCCGUAGCCGGUUUGGUCAGUCUUCCGGGAAAUCUGAUAGCUCAACUAUUAGGCUUUCGGGGGAUACUGCCAGGCUUGGAACCGGGAGAGGUAAGAGGUACUACAGGGGUAGGAGUGAAAUCUUGUAAUCCCUGUGGGACCACCUGUGGCGAAGGCGUCUU